AUUGAACGCUGGCGGCAUGCCUAACACAUGCAAGUCGAACGGAAACGAAGGGAGCUUGCUCCCAGGCGUCGAGUGGCGGACGGGUGAGUAAUGCUUGGGAAUCUACCCAGUAGCGGGGGACAACUCGGGGAAACUCGAGCUAAUACCGCAUACGCCCUACGGGGGAAAGCGGGGGAUCUUCGGACCUCGCACUAUUGGAUGAGCCCAAGUCGGAUUAGCUUGUUGGUGGGGUAAUGGCCUACCAAGGCGACGAUCCGUAGCUGGUCUGAGAGGACGAUCAGCCACACCGGAACUGAGACACGGUCCGGACUCCUACGGGAGGCAGCAGUGGGGAAUAUUGGACAAUGGGGGCAACCCUGAUCCAGCAAUGCCGCGUGUGUGAAGAAGGC
rnacentral:rRNA from 1 species